CAGUCGAACGAAGCACUUAAGAAUGAUUCUUCGGAUGAAUUCUUUUGUGACUUCCUGUCGGACGGGUGAGUAACGCGUGGGUAACCUGCCUCACACAGGGGGAUAACAGUUGGAAACGACCGCUAAUACCGCAUAACCCGCUAGGGCCGCAUGGCCCGGACGGAAAAGAUUUAUCGGUGUGAGAUGGACCCGCGUUGGAUUAGCUAGUUGGCAGGGUAACGGCCUACCAAGGCGACGAUCCAUAGCCGGCCUGAGAGGGUGAACGGCCACAUUGGGACUGAGACACGGCCCAAACUCCUACGGGAGGCAGCAGUGGGGAAUAUUGCACAAUGGGGGAAACCCUGAUGCAGCGACGCCGCGUGAGUGAAGAAGUAUUUCGGUAUGUAAAGCUCUAUCAGCAGGGAAGAAAAUGACGGUACCUGACUAAGAAGCCCCGGCUAACUACAUGCCAGCAGCCGCGGUAAUACGUAGGGGGCAAGCGUUAUCCGGAUUUACUGGGUGUAAAGGGAGCGUAGACGGCUAAGCAAGUCAGAAGUGAAAGGCUGGGGCUCAACCCCGGGACUGCUUUUGAAACUGUUUGGCUAGAGUGCUGGAGAGGUAAGCGGAAUUCCUAGUGUAGCGGUGAAAUGCGUAGAUAUUAGGAGGAACACCAGUGGCGAAGGCGGCUUACUGGACAGUAACUGACGUUGAGGCUCGAAAGCGUGGGGA
rnacentral:rRNA from 1 species